rnacentral:rRNA from 1 species
AGCGAACGCUGGCGGCAGGCCUAACACAUGCAAGUCGAACGAUCCUUCGGGAUAGUGGCGGACGGGUGAGUAAGACGUGGGAACGUGCCCUUUGGUUCGGAACAACUCAGGGAAACUUGAGCUAAUACCGGAUGUGCCCUUCGGGGGAAAGAUUUAUCGCCAUUGGAGCGGCCCGCGUCUGAUUAGCUAGUUGGUGAGGUAACGGCUCACCAAGGCGACGAUCAGUAGCUGGUCUGAGAGGAUGAUCAGCCACACUGGGACUGAGACACGGCCCAGACUCCUACGGGAGGCAGCAGUGGGGAAUCCUGCGCAAUGGGCGAAAGCCUGACGCAGCCAUGCCGCGUGAAUGAUGAAGGUCUUAGGAUUGUAAAAUUCUUUCACCGGGGACGAUAAUGACGGUACCCGGAGAAGAAGCCCCGGCUAACUUCGUGCCAGCCGCCGCGGUAAAAC